rnacentral:rRNA from 1 species
UACAUCCUACGGGAGGCAGCAGUGGGGAAUAUUGCACAAUGGGCACAAGCCUGAUGCAGCCAUGCCGCGUGUAUGAAGAAGGCCUUCGGGUUGUAAAGUACUUUCAGCGGGGAGGAAGGCGAUAAGGUUAAUAACCUUGUCGAUUGACGUUACCCGCAGAAGAAGCACCGGCUAACUCCGUGCCAGCAGCCGCGGUAAUACGGAGGGUGCAAGCGUUAAUCGGAAUUACUGGGCGUAAAGCGCACGCAGGCGGUCUGUCAAGUCGGAUGUGAAAUCCCCGGGCUCAACCUGGGAACUGCAUUCGAAACUGGCAGGCUAGAGUCUUGUAGAGGGGGGUAGAAUUCCAGGUGUAGCGGUGAAAUGCGUAGAGAUCUGGAGGAAUACCGGUGGCGAAGGCGGCCCCCUGGACAAAGACUGACGCUCAGGUGCGAAAGCGUGGGGAGCAAACAGGAUUAGAAACCCCGGUAGUCCCAUGA